ACCAGCCCUGCGCCGCACAUGAGGGAGCUUCUCUCCGGUUUCCAGAGCAUAUUCAUGAGGAGCUUCACCUGUCAACUCCUGACAAAAGAAAUGAAAAACAAACAUGAACAAAGUUACCGGGAAACCGCUAUUUUUAUAGCUCCAAAAGGGACACCUAGUGGAAAAGAACAAAUAUCCAUCUUCAUUCAGACCAACGGAGAAGACCAACAAGAGGAUGGGCAAUAUGCUAAUUUUUCAUGUUGACAAAUCAAUAAUUGGGGUACUUUAAUCUAACUGAUAGAACAGACAGGAAGUGGACCGCAGCAUGCAGGAAGUGGCUCAUAAAGCGGGAAGCGAGUGCGGGAAACAGAAAUGGGAGGCUCAGACUGACCUAUAACAACAAUGCCGGCAGAAACCCUCAUGCACAAAAACACCCUCUCAGGGCCAGAGUCAUUUCCUAAAGAUCAGCUGUAAACAAGGAGGCACAGACAAUGAGGAGAAAGGUCAAAAAACUCAUAGACUGUAACUCACACGCUUUCCUGUCUGCAACCUAAAUAAGCGCCAAAAACCCAAAUGUGUUGGUCUCAACGCCCAGUGGUGAUCUGUUCUUCUCACUGAAUCAGAAAGUAGUUAUUAUCGCAGCUGCAUGAGAUGGGCGGCUCUCUGGACGGCCCUAUGAUUGAGAAGCCGUGAAUGAUGGGUGUCUCUUAAAAAUUCAGAUGGUUAUAAUUAUAAAGAAAGAUCAAUAGUCCCAUAUGCGAACUAACAUGGAGAAAAGAGCAGCAGAUGAGUAAAAUGCACGUCCAAAUUAAAGAAAGCAACAGAACAAUGUGGCUAUUGUUUGUUGUCAUGACCUAAUUGUGCCCAUCACACACACUCAAGGGUCAGAGGAGGACAAAUAAAAGUAAGCGGGCUUAUAACGUAACACAAAUAUGUGCAUAUAGCUAGAGCAAACAUGGUGUCUAUGCCUGUCUUGGUUUGCCUAGUGUUGGGUUUCAGCUAAUGUAGUCACGCUGUUGUCGGUUUGAGCUUGAUAAGAUCCCUGAUCUUCAACUGAUGCAUUUCCCAAUUUCUAAGCAUUUAUUGUAGUGUUUACCUAAAUCUUCAAAUGUUUUGAUUAAACCCUUUUCGCACUAUUUAUCCUU